UACGUAGGGUGCGAGCGUUAAUCGGAAUUACUGGGCGUAAAGCGUGCGCAGGCGGUUUGGCAAGUCAGAUGUGAAAUCCCCGAGCUCAACUUGGGAACUGCGUUUGAAACUGCCAGACUAGAAUAUGUCAGAGGGGGGUAGAAUUCCACGUAUAGCAGUGAAAUGCGUAGAGAUGUGGGGGAAUACCAAUGGCGAAGGCAGCCCCCUGGGAUAAUAUUGACGCUCAUGCACGAAAGCGUGGGGAGCAAACAGGAUUAGAUACCCGAGUAGUCC
rnacentral:rRNA from 1 species